UACGUAGGGUGCAAGCGUUAUCCGGAAUUAUUGGGUCGGUAAAGAGCUCGUAUGGCGGUUUGUCGCGUCUGCCUGUGGAAAACUGGAGGCUCAACCUCCAGCCUGCAGUGGGUACGGGCGAAACUAGAGUGGCGGUAGGGGAGAUUGGAAUUCCUGGUGUAGCGGUGGAAUGCGACAGAUAUAGGAGGAACACCGAUGGC
rnacentral:rRNA from 1 species